UACGUAGGGUGCGAGCGUUGUCCGGAAUUAUUGGGCGUAAAGGGCUCGUAGGCGGUCUGUUGCGUCAGGAGUGAAAACUCGGGGCUUAACCCCGAGCCUGCUUCUGAUACGGGCAGACUAGAGGUAUGCAGGGGAGAACGGAAUUCCUGGUGUAGCGGUGAAAUGCGCAGAUAUCAGGAGGAACACCGGUGGCGAAGGCGGUUCUCUGGCAAUGUUCUGACGCUGAGGAGCGAAAGUGUGGGGAGCGAACAGG
rnacentral:rRNA from 1 species